CACACACACACACACACACACACACACCUGUUCAAUGCUAAGGAAAACAUUUUAACAAAGGUGAACCAUGCAGAUGAGUCUAGUCAGAAUAAGGAAAGACAAGGAAAGGAUCAGAACUUCACUCAGUUUCCUUGGCUCCAGAAGGGAAUUUCCAGUACCCGCGCAGUGAGAAUUGAUGACAUUUUCAUUCUGGUCUGGGAGUUUCAACUUCCCGACGAUUUGCACAACAAUUGAUGUCCAUCUAAAGAGAGAAGCUGUCCUCAGAGCUCUUUGCAUCUACCUUGUUGAGGAUGAGGGAUGCCUAGUAAAGAAGUACAUGGGCAAUCAAAGGGAUGACUUCUUGAAAGACCUGGCAAACAAAAUUUUAAAGGAAGGAGGAGCUCUUGAACACUUUGAGGACAUCAGAUCUGUUGCAGUGAUGCUGGCUACAAUCUAUGUUAUAACUGACUUAUAAUGCAUCUGUAAAUGCGUUAAUACUCAUUAAUGAACACCUAUAUAAAGGAAAACUUGAUGUAAAAUCUUACUGAAAAUGCUAAUAAAAACAAAGAUGAG
ensembl:lncRNA